GGUCUCCGUAGGUGAACCUGCGGAGGGAUCAUUACAAGAACGCCCGGGCUUCGGCCUGGUUAUUCAUAACCCUUUGUUGUCCGACUCUGUUGCCUCCGGGGCGACCCUGCCUUCGGGCGGGGGCUCCGGGUGGACACUUCAAACUCUUGCGUAACUUUGCAGUCUGAGUAAACUUAAUUAGUAAAUUAAAACUUUUAACAACGGAUCUCUUGGUUCUGGCAUCGAUGAAGAACGCAGCGAAAUGCGAUAAGUAAUGUGAAUUGCAGAAUUCAGUGAAUCAUCGAAUCUUUGAACGCACAUUGCGCCCCCUGGUAUUCCGGGGGGCAUGCCUGUUCGAGCGUCAUUUCACCACUCAAGCCUCGCUUGGUAUUGGGCAACGCGGUCCGCCGCGUGCCUCAAAUCGUCCGGCUGGGUCUUCUGUCCCCUAAGCGUUGUGGAAACUAUCCGCUAAAGGGUGUUCGGGAGGCUACGCCGUAAAACAACCCCAUUUCUAAGGUUGACCUCGGAUCAGGUAGGGAUACCCGCUGAACUUA
rnacentral:rRNA from 1 species